UUAAUUGAAACCAAAAUAGAGGUAUAUUACUGUUAAUAAUAUUAUUAAGUUUAUUCUUCAAUUAAA
rnacentral:tRNA from 1 species